UCCUGUUCUCCGUGGAAGGGGGAAUUUAUUUCAUUACGGGGAGUUUUGGAGGGUGUGGGAGGCCAAGCUGGAGUGGGCUUUAAGAAGCUCUUUCCAGCUGUUCAAAGGCAGGAACUUGGGGCUUCUUUGGCAUCUAUAUCUGAGCUAAACAAGAUGGCGCACAGAGAAGCCUUCAGUAGAGCAAGAAAGUGGGACCGGAUGAACUCUGAGGACCACGCGAGACCCAUGAUGACCACAAAGGUCUGUAGCGAGGCGGCCCCGAAAGCAAGGUCUCCCUGCUCCCCUUGUUGUACCGCAGGCGAAAGCGGAAAUUGGAAGGCAAGCCCUGUGAUGGUGAGGACUUGAAAAUUGCUUCUAAUUUCCAAGUGUGUGGCAGAGAGAGAGACAGCCUGCCAAGGACACGGCCUAAGUCACCCUCCUUGUAAUGAGAGAAGAGGAGGAAGAGCAGUGAUUAAAUGUGCUUGAUAAAACUU